CCCUUAGACGUUCUGGGCCGCACGCGCGCUACACUGACGGAGCCAGCGAGUAUAAACCUUGGCCGAGAGGUCUGGGAAAUCUUGUGAAACUCCGUCGUGCUGGGGAUAGAGCAUUGUAAUUAUUGCUCUUCAACGAGGAAUUCCUAGUAAGCGCAAGUCAUCAGCGUGCGUUGAUUACGUCCCUGCCCUUUGUACACACCGCCCGUCGCUACUACCGAUUGAAUGGCUUAGUGAGGCUUCCGGAUUGGUUUAGAGAAGGGGGCAACUCCAUCUUGGAACCGAGAAGCUAGUCAAACUUGGUCAUUUAGAGGAAGUAAAAGUCGUAACA
rnacentral:rRNA from 1 species